AGAGUUUGAUCCUGGCUCAGGAUUAACGCUGGCGGCAUGCCUAAUACAUGCAAGUCGAACGAGAUUUCUUUUAGGAAUCUAGUGGCGAACGGGUGAGUAAUGUAUGUUUAAUCUGCCUUAAAGAGAGGAAUAACCAUUGGAAACGAUGGCUAAUACCUCAUAGGGUGUUUCAAGGCAUCUUGAAAUGCUUAAAGGCGCGU
rnacentral:rRNA from 1 species